UAACCUGCCUCAUACAGGGGAAUAACAGUUGGAAACGGCUGCUAAAACCGCAUAAGCGCACAGUAUCGCAUGAUACAGUGUGAAAAACUCCGGUGGUAUGAGAUGGACCCGCGUCUGAUUAGCUAGUUGGUGAGGUAACGGCCCACCAAGGCAACGAUCAGUAGCCGGCCUGAGAGGGUGAACGGCCACAUUGGGACUGAGACACGGCCCAAACUCCUACGGGGGGCAGCAGUGGGGAAUAUUGCACAAUGGGGGAAACCCUGAUGCAGCGACGCCGCGUGAGUGAUGAAGUAUUUCGGUAUGUAAAGCUCUAUCAGCAGGGAAGAUAAUGACGGUACCUGACUAAGAAGCACCGGCUAAAUACGUGCCAGCAGCCGCGGUAAUACGUAUGAUGCAAGCGUUAUCCGGAUUUACUGGGUGUAAAGGGUGCGUAGGUGGUGAGACAAGUCUGAAGUGAAAAUCCGGGGGNUUANCCCGGAACUGCUUUGGAAACUGCCUGACUAGAGUACAGGAGAGGUAAGUGGAAUUCCUAGUGUAGCGGUGAAAUGCGUAGAUAUUAGGAGGAACACCAGUGGCGAAGGCGACUUACUGGACUGCUACUGACACUGAGGCACGAAAGCGUGGGGAGCAAACAGGAUUAGAUACNUCCCUGUAGUCACGCGUANACGAUGAAGNCAANAGA
rnacentral:rRNA from 1 species